rnacentral:lncRNA from 10 species
GAUCCUCGCCCGUUCCCUCCUGGUCGUUUCCGCAGUAACCUCUUAUCAGAGCGGGCAGCUGUGAGUGGCGCUCACAUCCGCCGCUGCCCUGUCGAAUGGGGGAAAGAGUUCUUGUGUUCUGAGGAGGGUUUGGCUAUGGUCCUUGACCCUAUUCUUGUCUCAGACUUGCCUCCCAGGUAUCGAGGUCUCCCUGUGGGUUUCAUAUGGCUUGGUCCUUUAGGAGCUGGAAAAAUUAGGCAUAAAGUCCCCCCACCCCCUUGACAGAACGCCCCUUCUGACUCCAGAGGUCCUUUAUCGAGUGCCAGGCAUUGGUCUAGGGGCAUUUGAAAAAGAUUCACUGAAGGACAUUUUUAAGAGUUCGCUUUCUCAGAGGGCAGCUUCUCAAACUCAUUCGCUGGUUUCUUUUCCUCUUUCCGCCUGUUUAAGGAAUAUAGGAGGAUUGUAUGCCCUGGCCUCCCUGUGAUGGGGUUGAACUACAUGACAUGUUCUCCGAAUUAAGUGUGAGCAUAGCAUUUAAUUGUUGAUGCAAGACCUUCCAGAACUCUUUUUCUCUUUGCCAUGGCAAUCAUCAGUGUUCCAGAGAGCAUAUGCACGAUCAGCCUUGGUAUUGGAGGGAAGAUGAUGCGGAACAGAGUCCCAGUCACAUCAUGAAGGACAUGUAAAGUGAGAAGUAAACCUUGGUUGUUUUAA